rnacentral:rRNA from 1 species
UACGGAGGAUCCAAGCGUUAUCCGGAAUCAUUGGGUUUAAAGGGUCCGUAGGCGGUUUAGUAAGUCAGUGGUGAAAUCCCAUCGCUCAACGGUGGAACGGCCAUUGAUACUGCUAGACUUGAAUUAUUAGGAAGUAACUAGAAUAUGUAGUGUAGCGGUGAAAUGCUUAGAGAUUACAUGGAAUACCAAUUGCGAAGGCAGGUUACUACUAAUAUAUUGACGCUGAUGGACGAAAGCGUGGGUAGCGAACAGG